UGUUAUAUUAAUGUCUGUCUCCCUGUCUACAAGCGUGGAAAUCUCAGGGAAGCCAAAGCCAGAGUACUGGACCCAGCCGAAGGCACUGAGGAUCCAUCCGCAGAACAGAACACUCACUGCCUGGGGAAUUCUCAGAUGUCCGGUAAGAUUGGGUCCCUCCUGACACCGGUGAAACUCAAAGCAGGACUGCAUGCUAAAGGCAACUCCUCAAAAGCAGUUAGAACGCACUCCAAUCGAAGGGACGACAGUCAAACAUACUGAAUUAUUUUUUCCAGUUUCCAAAAAAGAUCCAUUUGCAUAACUGAAAUUAAUUUAUCUUUAUCAUGACACUCUGGUCCUCCAAAAACAAUGGGGGUGGGGAGAAACAACAGAUAAACAAAGUCUAUGAGAAAUGUCAAUUUCCCAUUGAAAUCAAUCAAGCCAGCAAGCAACAGUACCGACUGAGCAACCACUAAGUGCUAGGUGCUGUACUAAGUGCUCAGGAAAGUACAACGCCCACAAAAGCACAGUCUCUGUCCUCUGGGAGCACAAAAAUAAUUCAGACAAGGAAGGCAGGAGGAAUAACAAGGAUCAGGCCAGGAGCAGUACAAACCCUUCUGGAGGGAGCAGCUCAGAAAGUAACUGGAUGUGCAGACCAAAACAAAAGCAAAAUUCCACACACGGAACAAGAGUGGAGGAGAGGAGUAAAAUACUCAUAAGCCAGGGAAUGGAGUGUCCGUUAGGGUUAGGCGAUAGGAAAGGAUUUUGUGGGGAGAGAGGACAGCCUUUAGAGGGGCGCUUUGAAGACAGGAGAGCUGUGAUCUGGCAGAACAGCAGUGAACAAGCAGUCGGAGGCCAGAGAGCCAAAUACAGCGAGGUGAGGGGAGCGAGGAGUGCUGAGGGCAGAGCAGUGGGCAAAGAGGGCCAAUAUGGAAGACUGGGAGAGCAGCUGGUGGAGACAGGGGUCAGAAGUCACCGCUUGGCCCGGGGGCAAAGCGUGGGCUUUGGGGAGCGGAGAGGCUGGGGCCGAGUGACACCACAGGAAGAGGAUCUGGGCAGUGGUUGUGGCUGCGGUGGUGGCGGCAGCACCGGAGCCGGGAGAGGCCAGAAGGCGGCAGACCGGCAAGGAGGCAGAUGGGGGAGGGAAAAAAGUGAUAUGAAGAGAGCUUGGACCAAGGAGGACACCAUUUAGGAUGGGGAGGGAGGGACAGCUACAUGAAAUGUUAGGGAGGAAGAAUUUGGAAAAUUUAGCUAUUAACUGAAUGUGAAGGCUGAAAGACAGAAGAACCCAGGCUUCUGAGACAUGGAAGAUGGUGGUGUUUAAGACGGGAAAGUGAGGCUGGCGUCAAGAGGGAAGAUGAGAAGCUCAACAUAGGAAACACUGAGUUUGAGGUAUCAGAGGGCAUCCAUGGAGAAAUGUCUCAGAAGCGAGAAAAAAUGAGGGAUUGUACAAUGGGGAAGCGGGGCUGGAGAGUCACCUGUGAGGAGACGGUAGUUUAAGCAGGGGGAUCUGAUGAGUUCCCCGAGACAGUGAGGGCAGAGCGAAAGGAGUAGAGGACCCGCAAGAGAGCCUGGUGGGACACUCAGCCGGGUGGGCAACGAGAGGUAGGAGAACUGGCCAAUGGGAAUGAGACGGAUUGAAGCAAAGCCAAGGUCUGAAAGGAUUUCAAAGAGGAGGGAAGAAAAUGGCCGGCCCACAAUGUCCACGGUGGUAGCGUGGUCAAGGAGGAUGAAGACGGAGGGGGGAGUCCGAGCUUUGGCUCCGAUGAGGCAUUGGUGUCCAUGGACAGGGCAAUCUCAACCCAGUGACAGGUUUGAAAACCUGACUGUAGAGAGCAUGGAUAAGAACCAGUGGAGAGGUGAAGGCAGCGGAUGUGGACAAACCUCUGCAGCCGUUUGGAUAGGAAGGGUGCAGGAAGAAGGGAUGGGAGUGAUCCAGCACAGCGGGUCGACUUGACAGUGUUAGACAGUACAGGGAAGAAGGAGUCACCGGAGAGUGAGAAGUGGAAGAUGGUGGUCAGGGACGGGGGAGGCAAGUGGGAGCCGGUAUUUUUCAAGGAUGACAGGAGAUAGGUCAGGCCCAGGAACAACAGUCGGAUUUUGGGAGCGCAGACAGGAACACUCAAGAAACAGCUGGAAAGGAGGAGGAGGGGGAAGAAGAGUGGGGAGGAGAUAGAGACUCUGCAAAUUAAUUUAAUUUACAGGGUGAGGGGGCUGUAAACCUUUCUAAACACAGACAUGCCCAAAAUGAACAGAAAUAUUUUUCAUUAAACAUUAUUAAAAUGGCGUGCUCACAAACCCGCGAAGUCGCCACUUUGACAAGGAUCAUCAGCACCCUCUCAAAGUCUGCACGGGAAGAGUCUGAAGCGAGUGACAAGGAAAAGAAACCAAACGAGGAGACGACUAAGGGCUUGGCCAACAUCCGCUUGGAAUACCGCUGCGCACAGUGAGCCCUGGGGUUGAGCUCCAGAGGGUCCUGGAUCCCCUCCAGCUCACUACUCUGACAUUUCUUGAAAAAUACAAAUUAGGAAGUUCCAAAAUCCGCCAUUUCACUGACCCGAGUUCUGCUUGGAGCCUGACGCGCCCGCCUGCUCGAGCUUUGCUUUCUUCUUCUUGGCCGAAGAAGACUCCGAAGACGGGGCGGGACGCUUUUCGACAGCAGGAGUGGAGAGGGCUCGCUUUUUGAAUAGCUCCCGCUCUCUCAACAAGCUUGGAUCCAUAGUUCUGUCAAAAUAAACAACAAAAAGGAGGAA